rnacentral:sRNA from 1 species
UGGCAAUCUAGCUGGAUAGCAUCCCUGCCCCUUGAAGAGACGUUUUUGUGGCCCCACACUACUGACUUAGGCAUAAUGCCUAGAGAUGGACUAGAACUGCACAAUGAACUAGUGGUGAGGUUCAGUUUAAUGGAAAUCGGUGAAGGCUUUCAGGAUCAAAUGAUAAUCUUUGUCUUUUUCUUUCUCUCAGGAAAAUGGCAGACAAUUUUUCGGUAAGUGUUUUAUGCCUGUUUCUUAUCCUUGAUCAGCUUCACAUGGUUGAGGGUUGGGGGUUUUGUUUUUACCAUGACUUUCCCUUUUCACUCUCCCACUGCGUGGCUUCCCCUGGACUCAUUUGUCCAACGAGGGCUUGCAAGCUGGAGCCUUGUUUUUCCAGCAGCAGAUUUGGGAAGAAAGCCAGGCAGAGCGAGUGGACUCUGCCGGCAGGAGCUGAGAAAUCCUCUGAGUAGCGGGAAGCGCGGUACAGUCUGGGCAUUCUGAUGUUUGUGAUUGUUUUUCUCACGGUGAUUAAAAAGUAUGUGCUGUAAGUAGAGGAGUGCUAACUCCUGACUUGAGCUAAUUAUGAAAAUGCAGCCCUCCCUGAUCUGAGACGUUGCGAGGCAAGAAUAAAGUGAAAAAGUAUAUGUAAUCCCAACAUCUGAUUUUAGUCUUAGAAACUCAAACUGUUAAUAAGUGGAAAAAGUUUAAUGAUAUGCAUGUAAUGCCUUUGCCAUAUUCCUCUCCUUCUUAGAUCACAUAUUCCUGUUUUCCUGAAAAUUCUGCUUUUGAGAAUGCUUUCUGUCCUGUAAUUGUUUAUGUCUUUCUUUCCAGCUCCAUGAUGCAUUAUCUGGGUCUGGAAACCCAAACCCUCAAGGAUGGCCUGGCGCAUGGGGGAACCAGCCUGCUGGGGCAGGGGGCUACCCAGGGGCUUCCUAUCCUGGGGCCUAUCCCGGGCAGGCACCCCCAGGGGCUUAUCCUGGACAGGCACCUCCAGGCGCCUACCCUGGAGCACCUGGAGCUUAUCCCGGAGCAUCUGCACCUGGAGUCUACCCAGGGCCACCCAGCGGCCCUGGGGCCUACCCACCUCCUGGACAGCCAAGUGCUCCCGGAGCCUACCCUGCCACUGGCCCCUAUGGCGCCCCUGCUGGGCCACUGAUUGUGCCUUAUAACCUGCCUUUGCCUGGGGGAGUGGUGCCUCGCAUGCUGAUAACAAUUCUGGGCACGGUGAAGCCCAAUGCAAACAGAAUUGCUUUAGAUUUCCAAAGAGGGAAUGAUGUUGCCUUCCACUUUAACCCACGCUUCAAUGAGAACAACAGGAGAGUCAUUGUUUGCAAUACAAAGCUGGAUAAUAACUGGGGAAGGGAAGAAAGACAGUCGGUUUUCCCAUUUGAAAGUGGGAAACCAUUCAAAAUACAAGUACUGGUUGAACCUGACCACUUCAAGGUUGCAGUGAAUGAUGCUCACUUGUUGCAGUACAAUCAUCGGGUUAAAAAACUCAAUGAAAUCAGCAAACUGGGAAUUUCUGGUGACAUAGACCUCACCAGUGCUUCAUAUACCAUGAUAUAAUCUGAAAGGGCAGAUUAAAAAAAAAAAGAAUCUAAACCUUACAUGUGUAAAGGUUUCAUGUUCACUGUGAGUGAAAAUUUUUAUUCAUCAAUAUCCUUCUUGUAAGUCAUCUACUUAAUAAAUAUUACAGUGAAUUA